UGACACAGGGAGGUAGUGACAAGAAAUAACAAUACAGGGCUUUCGUCUUGUAAUUGGAAUGAUGGUGAUGUACAACCUCACCAGAGUACCAUUUGGAGGGCAAGUCUGGUGCCAGCAGCCGCGGUAAUUCCAGCUCCAAUAGCGUAUAUUAAACUUGUUGCAGUUAAAAAGCUCGUAGUUGUAUUUCAGCCUCGCGUUUUUUCCCUUUUGUUGGGUCUUUUCGCUGGCUUUUUUUUUACUUUGAGAAAAUUAGAGUGUUUCAAGCAGACUUUUGUCUUGAAUACUUCAGCAUGGAAUAAUAGAGUAGGACCUUGGUUCUAUUUUGUUGGUUUCGAGCCUUGGUAAUGGUUAAUAGGAACGGUUGGGGGCAUUCGUAUUUAACUGUCAGAGGUGAAAUUCUUA
rnacentral:rRNA from 1 species